rnacentral:lncRNA from 1 species
GGUGAUAUGGCUUCAGCCUGGUUCUCUUGGGAUGUUCACUCUUAGAAGAAAUUUGAAGAAGCCGAAACAGCCACAUGGAGAAGCCACACACAGAUAUUCUGGCUGGCAGCCCAGCAGAGGUCCCAGCCAACAGCUAACAUCAACGGCCAUGUGAAGAAGUGUGCCUGCAGGGGGUUUCAGACCCCAGCUGCCAAGCUGCCUCCAGCCUCCCGGUCUUCCAAGCUGAGGAAGCGGACAGUGUGGAGCAGAGAUAAGCCACCCUACAGUGCUGUUCUCAGAUCCCUGGCUCGCAGAACCCAAGAGCACUAUAAAACACUUGCUAUUUCUCAUUGCCAAGUUUGGGGUUGCUUGUGGCAUCAGGGACAGGAAAUUCCAAGCUCUCGGACAAUGAGAGCCCACGGAGGAGAGAGAGGUGGCUAAAACAAGAAAAGAUCUGUGGAUGACUGCGUCUCCCGGGCAAAAGACCACUCUGAUAGCUUCCAUGAGAGCUCCCUGGGGCAUCCAUGGAGAAGAUAUUUUUGAGGGAGAAAUCCCCAAUGCUUCUUGAAUCUUGCAGCCCACACAGGGAUUUCCUACAAGCAAACCCAGCCUUGAGCUAUAAAGAUCUGAUCACUUUCCUGGGUGAAGACAGCAGACUGACUCAGUUAUUCUGUGGAUAGGUGACUUGAUCAAUGAGUUGGUGAGAGUUCUAAGAUGUGUCUUUCAGGCACAUCUCAGAUUUGUAAAAUUAUUAUUUAUUUAUUUAAUUAAUUUAUUUUUUUUGAGAUGGAGACUCACUCUGUCACCCAGGCUGGAGUGCAGUGGCACAAUCUUGGCUCACUGCAACCUCCACCUCCCAGGUUCAAAUGAUUCUCCUGUCUCAGCCUCCUGAGUAGCUGGGAUUACAGGCACCUGCCACCAUGCCCGGCUAAUCUUUGUAUUUUUACUAGAGACAGGGUUUCACCAUAUUGGCUGGGCUGGUCUCCAACUCCUGACCUCAGGUGAUCCACCUGCCUCAGCCUCCCAAAUUGCUGGGAUUACAGGCAUGAACCACUGUGCCUGGCCUCAGAUUUGUAAGAUAAUUUAAACAAGACUCAGUGUCUCUGCAUCUCACAUUGGUUGUAUAUUGCAUUAAAAUGGUGAUAAUUCUCCCCUAAUCAAACUGUGCCCAUAUACUGGCAAGGACAUUAAUGUUAUGAAGACAAGAAGUAGCUGAAAAAUAAAGAGACAAUAGCCACGAGACAGACCCAGAGGUCAGGUAGGGCAGGGUUGCCGUGAGGACACGGCUCAUCCCACAGGGCCUGGGAACUUGUGGUCACAGCAGUGCAAGGUCCUGUUCUCUCCUCCACAGGGACAGACAGGCCACCAGCCUGACAGAGACGGCAUUAGGGGGCAGCUGCCAGGAACAAGCAGGGAUUGCACUAGACUUUAUAGCGCCACAGUUCGGAUUUGCUGGAUUUGGAGACAAAAUCCAGGUUUGAAUUGUGAUUCUAUUUCUUACCGCCCCGCGGCCUGGGGCAGCCAGGUCAGCUCUCUGAGCCCCGUGGUCUCCAUUGCUGAAUGAGAAUGCCCACCUCCACUCAGAACCAGCCAGUGUGGUGCCAGCAACCCACCUAACACAGGCAAAGAGGAUUUCUUAAUGAAAACAUUUUGUCUUGCACAAAACAAUACUCAAUUUAAGAAAUAGCAAAUGCAGAAAAGGAAAGAGA